UAGAAUGGAACUGCUGUGUGACCAGAAA
rnacentral:piRNA from 1 species